rnacentral:misc_RNA from 1 species
AAGUCGUAACAAGGUUUCCGUAGGUGAACCUGCGGAAGGAUCAUUCAAAAUGAGUGUUUAAUGGCACUCUAAAUCCAUUACCCACCUUGUGUGCAUUGUCGGGGAGAGCUCCCUCUUCAUCUCGAAGAGUCGUUCUCCUUUUCAUACAUACCAACUUUUUUCAGUAUCAGUCUACAUCUAUUUAGAGUAUAUAAAACUCGAAAUACAACUUUCAACAACGGAUCUCUUGGCUCUC